CCUACGGGAGGCAGCAGUGGGGAAUAUUGGACAAUGGGCGCAAGCCUGAUCCAGCCAUGCCGCGUGGAUGAUGAAGGCCCUAGGGUUGUAAAGUCCUUUUAACGGGGAAGAUAAUGACGGUACCCGUAGAAUAAGCCCCGGCUAACUUCGUGCCAGCAGCCGCGGUAAUACGAAGGGGGCUAGCGUUGCUCGGAAUUACUGGGCGUAAAGCGCACGUAGGCGGGUUCUUAAGUCGGUGGUGAAAUCCUGGAGCUCAACUCCAGAACUGCCUUCGAAACUGGGAAUCUUGAGUCCGGGAGAGGUGAGUGGAACUGCGAGUGUAGAGGUGAAAUUCGUAGAUAUUCGCAAGAACACCAGUGGCGAAGGCGGCUCACUGGCCCGGUACUGACGCUGAGGUGCGAAAGCGUGGGGAGCAAACAGGAUUAGAUACCCCGGUAGUCCACGCCGUAAACGAUGAAUGCUAGCCGUUGGCGAGCUUGCUCGUCAGUGGCGCAGACUACGUACUUAAGUACUACUUCCGUCCGUGGGUAGGUACGGUCGCGAAGAAUUAAAACUAACAAUAGUAAGUUAGACGGCGUGAGACGUACGCCGAACGGACGACGACGAGGGAGGUAG
rnacentral:rRNA from 1 species